rnacentral:rRNA from 1 species
GUGGGGAAUUUUGGACAAUGGGCGCAAGCCUGAUCCAGCAAUGCCGCGUGCAGGAAGAAGGCCUUCGGGUUGUAAACUGCUUUUGUACGGAACGAAACGGUCCUGGCUAAUACCCGGGGCUAAUGACGGUACCGUAAGAAUAAGCACCGGCUAACUACGUGCCAGCAGCCGCGGUAAUACGUAGGGUGCGAGCGUUAAUCGGAAUUACUGGGCGUAAAGCGUGCGCAGGCGGUGCUGUAAGACAGGCGUGAAAUCCCCGGGCUCAACCUGGGAAUUGCGCUUGUGACUGCAGUGCUGGAGUGCGGCAGAGGGGGAUGGAAUUCCGCGUGUAGCAGUGAAAUGCGUAGAUAUGCGGAGGAACACCGAUGGCGAAGGCAAUCCCCUGGGCCUGCACUGACGCUCAUGCACGAAAGCGUGGGGAGCAAACAGGAUUAGAUACCCGAGUAGUCC